AUGUGCUCCUGUCGCCGCGUCCAGACAGUGACCGCCAAUGGCGGUGGAGGUUGUCUCCUCUUGCUUGGCUGCUGUUGUUGCCGCUCCUCAUUCCCGGCUGCUCCCCCUCGGCCUCGUCGGUCUCGCUUCGUUGACCAUGGUGAGGCAGCGGUGAUGUUGGCAAGACCGUGGUGGCGCAUGUUGGUGGACGACAUCAGUGGUGGAGCGCAUCGGACCAUUCGGGGAUGUGGGUGUUUGGUGGACGGGAGAAAUCCCUGCCGGCUUGUCGGCACCGACGCGGUGACGCCCGUGGGCGCCACCGUUCCUUCCUGA
rnacentral:rRNA from 1 species